UACGUAGGGCGCAAGCGUUGUCCGGAAUCAUUGGGCGUAAAGCGCGCGUAGGCGGCCCGGUAAGUCCGCUGUAAAAGUCCAGGCUCAACCCUGGAACGCCGGUGGAUACUGUCGGGCUAGAGUCCGGAAGAGGCGAGUGGAAUUCCUGGUGUAGCGGUGGAAUGCGCAGAUAUCAGGAGGAACACCGAUGGCGAAGGCAGGUCUCUGGGCCACUACUGACGCUGAGAAGCGAAAGCAUGGGGAGCGAACAGG
rnacentral:rRNA from 1 species